rnacentral:rRNA from 1 species
AUUGAACGCUGGCGGCAGGCCUAACACAUGCAAGUCGAGCGGAAAGGCGGACGGGUGAGUAAUGCCAAGGGAUCUGCCUGGUAGUGCGGGCUAACGUUCGGAAACGGACGCUAAUACCGCAUCCUCGCACAUGGGCUUAGGUCGGAUUGGCUAGUGGGUGGGGUAAAGGCCUACCAAGGCGACGACCCGUAACUGGUCUGAGUGGAUGAUCGGUCACACUGGAACUGAGACACGGUCCAGACUCCUACGGGAGGCAGCAGUGGGGAAUAUUGGACAAUGGGCGAAAGCCUGAUCCAGCCAUGCCGCGUGUGUGAAGAAGGUCUUCGGAUUGUAAAACUCUUUAAGUUGGGAAGCGUUACCAACAGAAUAAGCACCGGCUAACUUCGUGCCAGCAGCCGCGGUAAUAC